UACGAGAGGCCCAAACGUUAUUCGGAAUUACUGGGCUUAAAGAGUUCGUAGGCGGCAUGAAAAGCAGGGUGUGAAAGCCCUCGGCUCAACCGAGGAAUUGCGCUCUGAACUGUCGUGCUUGAGGAACCUAGAGGUGAGCAGAACAGAUGGUGGAGCGGUGAAAUGCGUUGAUAUCAUCUGGAAUACCGGAGGCGAAGGCGGCUCACUGGGGGUUUUCUGACGCUGAGGAACGAAAGCCAGGGCAGCGAACGGG
rnacentral:rRNA from 1 species